UGGAGGACCGAACCGACUAAUGUUGAAAAAUUAGCGGAUGACCUGUGGCUGGGGGUGAAAGGCCAAUCAAACCGGGAGAUAGCUGGUUCUCCCCGAAAGCUAUUUAGGUAGCGCCUCGUGAAUUCAUCUCCGGGGGUAGAGCACUGUUUCGGCUAGGGGGCCAUCCCGGCUUACCAACCCGAUGCAAACUGCGAAUACCGGAGAAUGUUAUCACGGGAGACACACGGCGGGUGCUAACGUCCGUCGUGAAGAGGGAAACAACCCAGACCGCCAGCUAAGGUCCCAAAGUCAUGGUUAAGUGGGAAACGAUGUGGGAAGGCCCAGACAGCCAGGAUGUUGGCUUAGAAGCAGCCAUCAUUUAAAGAAAGCGUAAUAGCUCACUGGUCGAGUCGGCCUGCGCGGAAGAUGUAACGGGGCUAAACCAUGCACCGAAGCUGCGGCAGCGACACUGUGUGUUGUUGGGUAGGGGAGCGUUCUGUAAGCCUGUGAAGGUGUGUCGUGAGGC
rnacentral:rRNA from 2 species